rnacentral:rRNA from 1 species
GACAGAGGUGCCAAGCGUUAGGCGGAAUCACUGGGCUUAAAGCGUGUGUAGGCGGAAUGGUAAGUACCUUGUGAAAUCCCACGGCUCAACCGUGGAACUGCUUGGUAUACUGCUUUUCUUGAGCCACUUAGAGGCAACCGGAACAAACGGUGGAGCGGUGAAAUGCGUAGAUAUGCGGAGGAACACCGAUGGCGAAGGCAAUCCCCUGGGCCUGCACUGACGCUCAUGCACGAAAGCGUGGGGAGCAAACAGG